UCUUAUGGAUGAGCAAAAAAGUGGGUACUUGAAAUGGAAUCUACUUCUGGUGAAAAUGCUAUGAA
rnacentral:pre_miRNA from 1 species